CGGCGUGCUUAACACAUGCAAGUCGAACGGAAAGGCCCUGCUUUUGUGGGGUGCUCGAGUGGCGAACGGGUGAGUAACACGUGAGUAACCUGCCCUUGACUUUGGGAUAACUUCAGGAAACUGGGGCUAAUACCGGAUAGGAGCUCCUGCUGCAUGGUGGGGGUUGGAAAGUUUCGGCGGUUGGGGAUGGACUCGCGGCUUAUCAGCUUGUUGGUGGGGUAGUGGCUUACCAAGGCUUUGACGGGUAGCCGGCCUGAGAGGGUGACCGGCCACAUUGGGACUGAGAUACGGCCCAGACUCCUACGGGAGGCAGCAGUGGGGAAUAUUGCACAAUGGGCGGAAGCCUGAUGCAGCAACGCCGCGUGCGGGAUGACGGCCUUCGGGUUGUAAACCGCUUUCGCCUGUGACGAAGCGUGAGUGACGGUAAUGGGUAAAGAAGCACCGGCUAACUACGUGCCAGCAGCCGCGGUGAUACGUAGGGUGCGAGCGUUGUCCGGAUUUAUUGGGCGUAAAGGGCUCGUAGGUGGUUGAUCGCGUCGGAAGUGUAAUCUUGGGGCUUAACCCUGAGCGUGCUUUCGAUACGGGUUGACUUGAGGAAGGUAGGGGAGAAUGGAAUUCCUGGUGGAGCGGUGGAAUGCGCAGAUAUCAGGAGGAACACCAGUGGCGAAGGCGGUUCUCUGGGCCUUUCCUGACGCUGAGGAGCGAAAGCGUGGGGAGCGAACAGGCUUAGAUACCCUGGUAGUCCACGCUGUAAACGGUGGGUACUAGGUGUGGGGUCCAUUCCACGGGUUCCGUGCCGUAGCUAACGCUUUAAGUACCCCGCCUGGGGAGUACGGCCGCAAGGCUAAAACUCAAAGGAAUUGACGGGGCCCCGCACAAGCGGCGGAGCAUGCGGAUUAAUUCGAUGCAACGCGUAGAACCUUACCUGGGUUUGACAUGGAUCGGGAGUGCUCAGAGAUGGGUGUGCCUCUUUUGGGGUCGGUUCACAGGUGGUGCAUGGCUGUCGUCAGCUCGUGUCGUGAGAUGUUGGGUUAAGUCCCGCAACGAGCGCAACCCUUGUUCACUGUUGCCAGCACGUUAUGGUGGGGACUCAGUGGAGACCGCCGGGGUCAACUCGGAGGAAGGUGGGGAUGACGUCAAGUCAUCAUGCCCCUUAUGUCCAGGGCUUCACGCAUGCUACAAUGGCUGGUACAGAGAGUGGCGAGCCUGUGAGGGUGAGCGAAUCUCGGAAAGCCGGUCUCAGUUCGGAUUGGGGUCUGCAACUCGACCUCAUGAAGUCGGAGUCGCUAGUAAUCGCAGAUCAGCAACGCUGCGGUGAAUACGUUCCCGGGGCUUGUACACACCGCCCGUCAAGUCAUGAAAGUUGGUAACACCCGAAGCCGGUGGCCUAACCGUUGUGGGGGAGCCGUCGAAGGUGGGACUGGAG
rnacentral:rRNA from 1 species